rnacentral:rRNA from 1 species
GACGAACGCUGGCGGCGUGCCUAAUACAUGCAAGUAGGACGCAGUUGCGAACGUGUGAUUAACGCGUAGGUAACUACCUAUUAGAGGGGGAUAACUAUUGGAAACGAUAGCUAAUACCGCAUACUAGUAGAUGGACCUGCGUUGUAUUAUCUAGUAGGUAGGGUAAAGGCCUACCUAGGCAACGGUACAUAGCCGACCUGGGAGGGGGAUCGGGCAAAAUGGGACUGGGACAAGGCCCAGACUCCUACGGGAGGGAGCAGUAGGGAAUCUUCGGCAAUGGGGGGCACCCUGACCGCGCAACGCCGCGUGGUUGAAGAAGGGUUUCGGAUCGUAAAGCUCUGUUGUUAAGGAAGCGGUACUUAACCAGAAAGGGCCGGCUAACUACGUGCCAGCAGCCGCGGUAAUUC